rnacentral:rRNA from 1 species
GAUGAACGCUGGCGGCGUGCCUAAUACAUGCAAGUCGAGCGAACAGAUGAGGAGCUUGCUCCUCUGACGUUAGCGGCGGACGGGUGAGUAACACGUGGAUAACCUACCUAUAAGACUGGGAUAACUUCGGGAAACCGGAGCUAAUACCGGAUAAUAUAUUGAACCGCAUGGUUCAAUAGUGAAAGACGGUUUUGCUGUCACUUAUAGAUGGAUCCGCGCCGCAUUAGCUAGUUGGUAAGGUAACGGCUUACCAAGGCAACGAUGCGUAGCCGACCUGAGAGGGUGAUCGGCCACACUGGAACUGAGACACGGUCCAGACUCCUACGGGAGGCAGCAGUAGGGAAUAUUGCGCAAUGGGCGAAAGCCUGACGGAGCAACGCCGCGUGAGUGAUGAAGGUCUUCGGAUCGUAAAACUCUGUUAUUAGGGAAGAACAAAUGUGUAAGUAACUAUGCACGUCUUGACGGUACCUAAUCAGAAAGCAACGGCUAACUACGUG